rnacentral:rRNA from 1 species
UACGGGGGGGGUAAGCGUUGUUCGGAAUUACUGGGCGUAAAGGGCUCGUAGGCGGCCAACUAAGUCAUACGUGAAAUCCCUCAGCUUAACUGGGGAACUGCGUGUGAUACUGGAUGGCUUGGAUUUGGGAGAGGGAUGCGGAAUUCCAGGUGUAGCGGUGAAAUGCGUAGAUAUCUGGAGGAACACCGAUGGCGAAGGCAGGUCUCUGGGCCGAUACCGACGCUGAGGAGCGAAAGCGUGGGGAGCGAACAGG